rnacentral:misc_RNA from 1 species
UGAAUUAAAUUUUUGUAAAAUUUUCUUUUCCAAAUAGGAAGUUUAGGAAUGAUAAUUUUCUGAUUGAUUAUUAUAAGUUUCAUUAUUUUGCAUCAUUUUUUUUUUGGUUUUGUUUCAAUGGUUACUCAAUUUUGUAUUUGCUAACAGUGAAUCACGUAGAAUUAUGAUGUAAGAUAUUAUGAUAAUUUUAUUUCCAGCAGUCAUGAUACUAUCUUUAUCUUGACCCUUAUAAGCCACAUAUCUUAGUAUUUGUUCUACACCUGUGAAUUUAAUCAAUUCUAAUUUUGGAGUGCUAACACAUUUAAGCGGAAAUUUGGGUUGCUGACUAUUGUUAAGAUGCCAUUGUGCUCUCUUAUUUUGAAAGAAAAAAUUUUUAAGUGAUUAAAGGAAAAAGAGAACGGGGAAAAUAUGGCCUUUCAAUUUGCUAUUUUUUGUGGAAUUGUUAGUUAUGGCUAGUGUGCUUCAAUUAAUAAUUUGAUGACUUGGCUAAUAGUAAACUGUCAUGUAUUUUGAUUGGUUAUUUGUACUACCUACAGUAUGGGGUCCACAAGUGGUUUAGCAAGUGAACAGGGGAAACAACCUCUUUUCUCUUUUGGAGUUAUCUCUGAUGUCCAAUAUGCUGAUAUUCCGGAUGGUUACUCAUUUAUCGGUGUUCCCCGGUAUUAUCAACAUAGCAUUCAAGUAUUGCAAAGAGCAGUACAAAAAUGGAACAAUCAUGGGAUGCUUAAGUUUGUGAUUAAUUUUGGAGAUAUUGUUGAUGGAAAAUGCCCUCGAGAUGAAUCUCUAAAUGCUGUGAAGAAAGUAACUAAUGAAUUUGGGAAAUUUAAUGGCCCCAUUUAUCACAUGAUUGGUAAUCACUGUCUCUACAAUCUUCCUCGUGAGAAAUUACUCCCAAUAUUGGAGAUUUCAAGUCCUGAUGGUAAUGCCUACUAUGAUUUUUCACCUGCUUCAGAAUACAGAAUCAUAGUGCUUGAUGGCUAUGAUAUCAGUGCCAUUGGAUGGCCUCAAGAUAAUCCUAAAACAUUAGAGGCAUUGGAAUUUCUCAGGAGUAAGAACCCAAAUUCAGAAAAGAACAGCCCAGAGGGACUGCUAGGCCUACAAAGGAGGUUCCUUAUGUUCAACGGAGCUGUUGGGAGAGAACAGAUGGAAUGGUUGGACGGUGUACUUCAAGAUGCAAUAAAGUUGAAACAGAAAGUGGUUGUUUGUUGCCAUCUGCCGUUAGAUCCUGGUGUAUCAUCCCCAGAAGCACUUCUGUGGAAUUAUGAUGAAGUAAUGAAUGUGAUACACCGAUACAAUUGUGUGAAGGUCUGCCUGUCUGGUCAUGAUCACAAAGGUGGGUAUUCAAUUGAUUCCCAUGGAAUACACCACAAGUCCUUUGAAGCAGCACUGGAGUGCCCUCCUGGUACAGAUUCAUUUGGAUACAUUGAAGUUUAUGACAACAGAUUAAUGCUUUUUGGUACUGAUAGAAUGGAGAGCACUGAUAUGUCUUUCAGUCCCUAAACAAAUUUCAGAGUAUGACAGUGCUAACUCAUUCUUCUAACAGAAGCUGUACGAGAGUAAAUUAUCUUUAACCAAAAGCCUCUUAAAGAAAAAUUCAUAGGGGUUGGAAAACCACGGCAUUCAUUUCACUUGAGCAUGUGGUGCAAUCCCAAUUACUAAAGAAGGUAUGGACUGUGCACGCAAUGGUAUAUUGUUUUCAGCGUGCAAAAUUUACAUUGGAAUACAUUUGCAUUCAUGGGAUGUCUUCUAGUUCUAAAGCUCAUUUAUUUUCUGUUUAUUUAUUCAUGGUAUCUAUUAGUCGUGCUUGAUAUUUCAAGAACGCAAGAUAAGUUAUGCCCCUUAGCCAUGUCAUAUCAAGUGUUUGUGUGUUGUGAAAAGAUUAAAAUAUUUAGUUACUUAUUUGAUGCCUGAGGUUGAAAAUUUGUAAAGCAUUUUGUAUUAAAUUGUGAACAAAUAAUCGAUGCAUAAGAGUUCAAUUUAUGAUUAUUCAUAUGUUAGUGUGAA